CAGAAGGGGGGCAGAAGUGGGGAAUAUUGGACAAUGGGGGGAACCCUGAUCCAGCCAUGCCGCGUGUGUGAAGAAGGCCCUCGGGUUGUAAAGCACUUUCAGUGAGGAAGAACGCCUGGUGGUUAAUACCCAUCAGGAAAGACAUCACUCACAGAAGAAGCACCGGCUAACUCCGUGCCAGCAGCCGCGGUAAUACGGAGGGUGCGAGCGUUAAUCGGAAUUACUGGGCGUAAAGCGCGCGUAGGUGGCUUGAUAAGCCGGUUGUGAAAGCCCCGGGCUCAACCUGGGAACGGCAUCCGGAACUGUCAAGCUAGAGUGCAGGCGAGGAAGGUAGAAUUCCCGGUGUAGCGGUGAAAUGCGUAGAGAUCGGGAGGAAUACCAGUGGCGAAGGCGGCCUUCUGGACUGACACUGACACUGAGGUGCGAAAGCGUGGGUAGCAAACAGGAUUAGAUACCCUGGUAGUC
rnacentral:rRNA from 1 species